rnacentral:rRNA from 1 species
AGCCGCCACGGUAAUACGUAGGUGGCAAGCGUUGUCCGGAAUUAUUGGGCGUAAAGCGCGCGCAGGUGGUUUAAUAAGUCUGAUGUGAAAGCCCACGGCUCAACCGUGGAGGGUCAUUGGAAACUGUUAAACUUGAGUGCAGGAGAGAAAAGUGGAAUUCCUAGUGUAGCGGUGAAAUGCGUAGAGAUUAGGAGGAACACUAGUGGCGAAGGCGGCUUUUUGGCCUGUAACUGACACUGAGGCGCGAAAGCGUGGGGAGCAAACAGGAUUAGAUACCCGUGUAGUCCCUGUCUCUUAUACA